CCUACGGGGGGCUGCAGUGGGGGAUAUUGCACAAUGGGGGCAACCCUGAUGCAGCGACGCCGCGUGGGCGAAGACGUCUUUCGGUAUGUAAAGCCCUAUCAGCAGGGGGGAAGAAAUGACGGUACCUGAGUGAGAAGCACCGGCUAAAUACGUGCCAGCAGCCACGGUAGUGCGUCUGGUGGCAGCCUUAUCCGGAUUUCCUGGGUGAAAAGGGAGCGCAGGCGGCACGGCAAGGCUGAUGGGAAAGCCCGGGGGCCAACCGCGGGCCUGCGUUGGGAACUACCGGGCUGGAGGGCCGGCGGGGGAGGCGGAAAUGCUAGUGGAGCGGGGAAAUGCGUAGAUAUUAGGAAGAACACCAGUGGCGAAGGCGGCUCUCUGGUCCGCAACUGACGCUGAGGCUCGAAAGCAUGGGUAGCGAACAGGAUUAGAUACACUUGUAGUC
rnacentral:rRNA from 1 species